rnacentral:rRNA from 1 species
UUCCUCCUACGGGAGGCAGCAGUGAGGAAUAUUGGUCAAUGGGCGGUAGCCUGAACCAGCCAAGUAGCGUGAAGGAUGAAGGUUCUAUGGAUUGUAAACUUCUUUUGUAAAGGAAUAAAGUGAGGCACGUGUGCCUUUUUGUAUGUACUUUAUGAAUAAGGAUCGGCUAACUCCGUGCCAGCAGCCGCGGUAAUACGGAGGAUCCGAGCGUUAUCCGGAUUUAUUGGGUUUAAAGGGAGCGUAGAUGGGUUGUUAAGUCAGUUGUGAACGUUUGUGGCUC